AUAUUAAAAUAUGUUUAAUAUAUUAUAUAGAAAUAUAUAUAUAUAUUAUGUUAUAUUUCUUUCGUGUGUGUGUGUGUGUCCUCCUCUAUACAUUUAUGCAUCAGUCUGUCGUGUUUCUGAAUAAACUUCAUCUUGGGACGAAAAAAAUAUUUUAAAAAAAAAUAUACUUAAAAAACAAAAAGAGAUUAAACAGAAACAUCAACCACGUGGGUCCCUGACACCUCAGUAUUAGCUAUGUGGUUCCUAACCCCUUAGCUAUAUUGUGCUGUGGUCAGGGAUUGAACUCCAGACUGUUCAGCUGUAAUGUAUUACAAGGUAACAAUAUCUACAGCAAGAGCUGACCUCAAAUGUUGAGGUGAACCCAGGUAACUGUAUCACGUAUGAAGUACAGUGUUUAAAAGAUUAAAAAAAAAGACAGAAAUAUGUAAACCUAAUUAAUGACUGCAAUAAAAUAAUGAAUCAUUGCU